rnacentral:rRNA from 1 species
UGGGGAAUAUUGCACAAUGGGCGGAAGCCUGAUGCAGCAACGCCGCGUGCGGGAUGACGGCCUUCGGGUUGUAAACCGCUUUCGCCUGUGACGAAGCUUGAGUGACGGUAAUGGGUAAAGAAGCACCGGCUAACUACGUGCCAGCAGCCGCGGUGAUACGUAGGGUGCGAGCGUUGUCCGGAUUUAUUGGGCGUAAAGGGCUCGUAGGUGGUUGAUCGCGUCGGAAGUGUAAUCUUGGGGCUUAACCCUGAGCGUGCUUUCGAUACGGGUUGACUUGAGGAAGGUAGGGGAGAAUGGAAUUCCUGGUGGAGCGGUGGAAUGCGCAGAUAUCAGGAGGAACACCAGUGGCGAAGGCGGUUCUCUGGGCCUUUCCUGACGCUGAGGAGCGAAAGCGUGGGGAGCGAACA